GUUGAGUUGAGUUGAGUUUAUAAUGCAUACAAGUACUAUAUAAACAUACUUUAUUAAUUGUAAUAAUAUUAGUAAAAACAUUACUAAAGUGAUAAAUGAAAUAUAUGACCAUCAGAAUGACAUAAAAAGGAAAUCACAAUUCAUAAAGUGAAAAGGUGCCAAACCACAGGGUAUAUUUUGACCCCCUCCCCCCACUCCCUUCCCCUAUUCCUUUUUAUUUAUUUCAUUUUUGAAACCCAGUAAAGUUUGUCAUUUGAUGGGCACCAGAAAUGAACUUCAUUCUCUCUCAACUAAUAUUAUUCUAGCAAGAAACCACCACAAAUUCCCAUCUCAUAGCAGCCCAAAAAUAUAUGAGAUUGAUUGUAUCUGAGAUCUAACUGUUCAGGAUGCCACUCCUUAACAAACAUUAUUCUGAGGUGAACAGCUGCAGAGUAAACAUACCUGUGAGACCAAAUUCCCUUUCAAGAUCUGGCGGUGUUAGCAUGUCAUAACCAAUGAUUGAUGA
rnacentral:misc_RNA from 1 species